rnacentral:rRNA from 1 species
GUGGGAAUUUUGGACAAUGGGCGCAAGCCUGAUCCAGCAAUGCCGCGUGCAGGAAGAAGGCCUUCGGGUUGUAAACUGCUUUUGUACGGAACGAAACGGUCCGGGUUAAUACCCUGGGCUAAUGACGGUACCGUAAGAAUAAGCACCGGCUAACUACGUGCCAGCAGCCGCGGUAAUACGUAGGGUGCAAGCGUUAAUCGGAAUUACUGGGCGUAAAGCGUGCGCAGGCGGUUUUGUAAGACAGGCGUGAAAUCCCCGGGCUCAACCUGGGAAUUGCGCUUGGUACUGCAAGGCUGGAGUGCGGCAGAGGGGGAUGGAAUUCCGCGUGUAGCAGUGAAAUGCGUAGAUAUGCGGAGGAACACCGAUGGCGAAGGCAAUCCCCUGGGCCUGCACUGACGCUCAUGCACGAAAGCGUGGGGAGCAAACAGGAUUAGAUACCCGAGUAGUCC